rnacentral:lncRNA from 1 species
UUCCUUCUGAUGAUUGUACCCAUAUCCCUUUCACAGUGGAUUAAAAUGGGUGGGUUCCAGAUGCCUUGCUUUCGGUAGCCCUGUAGCUUCUUGGGCAGUGAAACUUUAAUCUACAGCAUGCAAUCAUGUGUGUGUGCAGGCAGACAGGCUCCUUACUUCUCUUGGCCUCUCUCUCCUUCUCCUUCCCUUCGCUCUUUUCUCUCUCCCUUAGAUUCCUCUUUUCCUCUCCCUUAUUUCCCCCUUCUUCCUGCUCCUGCCUUUAUUCGUUUGUUUAAUCCAUGAGCAUAUCUCUCAUCAAUGUUUUAGGUUUCAUCAUGCCGUUUUGCAUUUGGAUCCUACGUUUUUAGGGACAGAUAUAUGACUGCACAUUUGAAAUAUUUUUACCUAGCUAGAGAAUGAAAACGACAGGAAUUUUUUGGCCUACUUUUCUCCAUCUCACUAUUUUAUGUAGGUAAGAAAAAGUGCAAGAGUUUUAUCUGAGCAGGCACGGUGAUUUGAGUUGUAUUGUUCCUCGACACUCUUGUAGUACUUUAAAAUUAUGUGAUAU